GGAUAUAGCUCAGCUGGCAGAGUGUUUGCCUUGUAAGCACAAGGCCCUGGGUUCAGUCCCCAGCAAUACA
rnacentral:tRNA from 1 species